rnacentral:rRNA from 1 species
CACGGAGGAUGCGAGCGUUAUCCGGAUUUAUUGGGUUUAAAGGGUGCGUAGGCGGCCGAGUAAGUCAGCGGUGAAAUUUUGCAGCUUAACUGUAAAAGUGCCGUUGAUACUGUGAGGCUAGGAUUUGGUUGCUGUCGGUGGAAUGUGUGGUGUAGCGGUGAAAUGCUUAGAGAUCACACAGAAUAUCGAUUGCGAAGGCAGCUCACAAAGCCAAGAUUGACACUGAGGCACGAAAGUGUGGGGAUCAAACAGGA